GGCAUGAUGGCCGAGCGGUCUAAGGCGCUGGAAUCAGGCUACGAUGUAUCCAUCCAGUCCGAAAGGGCGGGAGUUCGAAUCUCCCUCAUGUCA